CCAUCUCAUGUCGUUCUUCACCCCUCCAUCUCAUCUCCCGUCGAGCAUCGAGCGGCCCUGGCACUACUCCCUCUCCUCUCUCGCACGCGCUUGGAUCCAUCAAGGAAUGCGGCGGCGGCAUGGCAGCCCGGAGCGCGGCGGCCGGCGGCAAGCCCCACCCAACCAGGCACGCGGAGGAGCGAGCGGGCGUGCUGCAGCACCAGGGGCAGCCAUGGGGACCCUCGAGCGCUUGAUUUUCACGGUCGGCAACUGGAUCCGCGGCACGGGCUAGGCUAUGUACCGCCUCAGAUCCACCAUCCAUGGCAGCCUCAGCGUCGAGGAGCAGCCGCCUCCCUCCGUCCGCUCCUUCUACCUCCCCAUCCCUCCUCCGCCAGCGGCUCCUUGCUCCAGCCUGUGGUUGUUUCCUACCAAGGAUGGGAUAGGGUCUUCGUCUAAUCAUUUCGAUUUCGAUGUGGUGUGGAGCUAGCUUUAUUCCAUCGUUCAGCUUGUCGUGUUCAUCUCUUAGGACCUGAUUCAGUGGUGUCCGCAUUCGUCAGUAUGCUCUCUGUUGGGGUUGUUCCUAACAGGGGGAGAAUAAAACCGAAACAGUGUUCCUAAAGAUUGGAUUAGCUGUGGAUGAUGGUAAUGUGAUAUAGACAAUUUCCCCUUUUCUGUGUACUAUUUGUUCCAACUGUCGUCACUUAUUUGUGAACUUGCAUUGCAGUUAGUUUAUUUUUCUGUGAAAGGGAACUCCUAUGAGCAACCAGUGGGGCUCCCACCUUACUGUCAACAUCGUCGUCCAGCAUGACAAGCACAAGCGAGAGCAGCAGUGAACUGGGGGCGCUCUUUCUCGUCUGCUCCUUAAUUGGCUGGUCGAGCAAUGUCUUCUGCCCAAGGUUGGUGAUCAGGUGGAUAUCUUGCAGAUUUAAGAACUGAGUCAAUGUUUGAGGGCUUGGGUAGGAGGCUACCUGUGUCUGCGCUAAGGUAUCUCAGGUGGAAAUUUUGGAUCCAGAGUCCAGACCAUAGCUAAGGGAAAAAUGAAAAGUCACAAGUUCCUAUUCACUACUUAGUAGCAGUUUGUUGCAGUGGAAUGAUUACAUUUUGUAACCUACAUGAUCAAUUUAAGUAGAAAACAUCUUUACAUUUUCGAUCCAGUGAUUCUUUGAGAUUCUGAUGAACUUUGCCUACUGUCAUUAUCCUUUGUUGUUUCUUAACGGGUAGCAGUAUAUAGCCGUGGCAUUUGGU